UACGAAGGGGGCUAGCGUUGCUCGGAAUUACUGGGCGUAAAGGGCGCGUAGGCGGCUGGGGAAGUCGGCGGUGAAAGCCCGGAGCUCAACUCCGGGUCGGCCGUCGAGACUCCUCGGCUCGAGCUCACUAGAGGCAGAUGGAAUUCCGGGUGUAGCGGUGGAAUGCGUAGAGAUCAGGAGGAACACCGGUGGCGAAGGCGGAUCUCUGGGCCAUUACUGACGCUGAGGAGCGAAAGCGUGGGGAGCGAACAGG
rnacentral:rRNA from 1 species